AUUGAACGCUGGCGGCAUGCUUUACACAUGCAAGUCGGACGGCAGCACAGAGGAGCUUGCUUCUUGGGUGGCGAGUGGCGAACGGGUGAGUAACGCAUCGGAACGUACCGAGUAAUGGGGGAUAACUGUCCGAAAGGACAGCUAAUACCGCAUACGCCCUGAAGGGGAAAGCGGGGGAUCUUAGGACCUCGCGUUAUUCGAGCGGCCGAUGUCUGAUUAGCUGGUUGGCGGGGUAAAGGCCCACCAAGGCGACGAUCAGUAGCGGGUCUGAGAGGAUGAUCCGCCACACUGGGACUGAGACACGGCCCAGACUCCUACGGGAGGCAGCAGUGGGGAAUUUUGGACAAUGGGCGCAAGCCUGAUCCAGCCAUGCCGCGUGUCUGAAGAAGGCCUUCGGGUUGUAAAGGACUUUUGUCAGGGAAGAAAAGGAACGUGUUAAUACCAU
rnacentral:rRNA from 1 species